rnacentral:rRNA from 1 species
CCUACGGGAGGCAGCAGUGGGGAAUAUUGGGCAAUGGGCGCAAGCCUGACCCAGCAACGCCGCGUGAAGGAAGAAGGCUUUCGGGUUGUAAACUUCUUUUCUCAGGGACGAAGAAAGUGACGGUACCGGAGGAAUAAGCCACGGCUAACUACGUGCCAGCAGCCGCGGUAUUACGUAGGUGGCAAGCGUUCUCCGGAUUUACUGGGUGUAAAGCGUUCGUAGGCGGUAUGUCAAGUCAAGGGUGAAAUCCCCGCGCUCAACGUGGGAACUGCCUUUGAAACUGGCAAACGUGAGUGUGUGAGAGGAUAGUGGAAUGCCAGGUGUAGCAGUGAAAUCCGUAGAUAUCUGGAGGAACAUCAGUGGCGAAGGCGACUAUCUGGCCCAUAACUGACGCUGAGGAGCGAAAGCGUGGGUAGCAAACAGGAUUAGAUACCCUGGUAGUC